rnacentral:rRNA from 1 species
UAGUCCUGGCCGUAAACGAUGGGUACUAGAUGUCGGCAGAUCGACCCUGUCGGUGUCGUAGCUAACGCGUUAAGUACCCCGCCUGGGGAGUACGACCGCAAGGUUGAAACUCAAAGGAAUUGACGGGGGCCCGCACAAGCGGUGGAGCAUGUGGUUUAAUUCGACGCAACGCGAAGAACCUUACCCAGGCUUGACAUCCUAGGGACAGCCCCAGAGAUGGGGUCUUCCUUCGGGACUCUAGGACAGGUGCUGCAUGGCUGUCGUCAGCUCGUGUCGUGAGAUGUUGGGUUAAGUCCCACAACGAGCGCAACCCUUGCCCUUAGUUGCCAGCAGUUCGGCUGGGCACUCUAAGGGGACUGCCCCGGAAAACGGGGAGGAAGGUGGGGAUGACGUCAAGUCCUCAUGGCCCUUACGCCUGGGGCUACACACGUGCUACAAUGGUCGGUACAGAGGGUUGCAAUGCCGUGAGGUGGAGCCAAUCCCAAAAAGCCGGCCUCAGUUCGGAUUGGAGUCUGCAACUCGACUCC